rnacentral:rRNA from 1 species
CUGACGGAGCAACGCCGCGUGCGGGAGGAAGGCCUGUGGGUUGUAAACCGCUUUUCUCAGGGAAGAAGUACUGACGGUACCUGAGGAAUCAGCAUCGGCUAACUCCGUGCCAGCAGCCGCGGUAAUACGGAGGAUGCAAGCGUUAUCCGGAAUUAUUGGGCGUAAAGCGUCCGCAGGCGGCUGUUCAAGUCUGCUGUCAAAGCCUGGGGCUUAACCUCGGAUAGGCAGUGGAAACUGAGUAGCUAGAGUGCGGUAGGGGUAGAGGGAAUUCCCAGUGUAGCGGUGAAAUGCGUAGAUAUUGGGAAGAACACCAGUGGCGAAGGCGCUCUACUGGACCGCAACUGACGCUGAGGGACGAAAGCUAGGGGAGC